UCCGGGUCCGCACUUGUUCAGGAAGUAGAGUAACCUGUGCUGAAGGCCUGUUGUGGUGAUGACGUGUCAUGACAUGUUUUGGCCCAAAUCUGCAGUAACUUUGAAAAAGUGGAAGCUCCUCUGAAUAUUGUGGAGUUUCUUGAUUUUGUGUUAAUUUCUGUGAUCACAAAAAGGUGAAAUUCUGGACUGACACAUGGAAGAUAUGGAAUGAUGACAGAAGAAUGUGACUUUGGGUUGUACCGUGUAUUUUAUUUUAUUUUUUUCAUGUAGCUUAAUUAUUUAGUAUAAAUGAAGGCAAGUGUGUGUUCUGUUCAUCUUUGCAAUCGUGUGUUCCCUGAUAGUCAAUGAUUGCUGGAGCUCUGGAAAUAGCAGGUGAGAUUGCAGGCCGGAGUCCCAUUGCUGUCCAGGGAACCAAAGUCAACCUCCUCUACUCCUGAGACCACAGUGUGACUGAGAGCCUAGACUACAUGGCUACUUGGAACAUGAACAUGUUGCAGACACAGGAUCUUAUGAAGUCAGCGCAGGCAGCCCUGGAAAAGAAGAGUCCGAAAGACGUGCCCUUCUCCAAGCUUUAAAGGAGAAGAUCCAGGGCUGUUGAAGCUGCGGUGGAACUGAGACUUCAUCAUCCACAUAUCUUCAGUUCUUCUUGCUAAGUCUGUUUCUUUUUAGUCUUUUUAUUUUUAGACUGGUCAAAAGACUGAUUAGUGGAAGUGAAAUGAUAGAUGAACUUUUAAUUACUUGCUUUAUUAUUUGCAGGUGCUUUGUACAGUAAGACAGGGUAACUAAUACUCAAAAGCUUGUUUUGUGUGUUAACAUGUACAGUAGAUGUACAUAUUUUUUUUUCUGGUCCUGUGUGACUGCAGAAUGUAGUGCAGUUAACACAGUAAAUUUCCUUGGAUGCUCACUUUUAACUCUAGGAGGUCACAAUUUGCCCGGACAUCUUUGUUUAAAUCCAUCAAUCCGUCACCCACACGUCAUUCUGGGGGACGAAGAGGAGGAAGCUGGACAGAUAAAUUUAUUUAUUUAUCAUUGCUGUGUUUCCUCAGUCGAGUGCAGAAAGAAGAAAAACACAACUGAUUUAAAAUAAAAAUAUAGAAAACAAUCUAAUGUAAGGUUCUGAUCCGGUUUGCUUUCAGCAGGAAGGCUGUCCUCUUUCCUGUUGCUCUUUCUCUUCUAUUAGUCCAUUUGUCCAGUCUGAAUCGGUUUGAUUGUUUGAUUCGUCUCGAGACGAUUCGGAGUCAAAUAAUUUUCUAGUGAGAGUCGCACACUUCCAAAUGAACUAGACUGAGAUGAGUAUUUGAUUCUCACUAGAAAGUGAUUUGACUCUGAAUGAACUCGAAAUGAAUCAGUCAAACUGAUUCAGACUCUAUAAAAGGACUAUGAGAUGUGAUUAAGAUAUAUAUUCCAAUGUUUUGCUUUACAAUUCUACUCUGUGUGUGUGCACGCAUGUGUUUUUUUCAGGAGAACGAGAAACUCUGACAUGAGUACAUCCUGACCAUUGGUACUGUGUACACAUCAACAUACACACAUGUCUCCAUGCUGGACAUCUCGGGGAGCUUUCACACAGUGCUAGGAAUAUCCCGGGACAGAGAAACGCACCUCCUAAGUGAGCGAGUUUAGCGUCAACCGGUGAAAUUUGCUGUAGCGUGAACACUUCGCCUCUGUGAGCUUCACUCUCCGUCAGGUUCACUGUAAUUAGACAUAAAAUGUACAUAAUGUUUAUUUUUCAUACAUUUAGGACUUAAGGUGGUUUUUUAAAAUUUAUUUUUAUUUAUUUUUUUUACCCUUCGAGGAACAGAAAUGAUCUUUCGAGGCAGCUUCUUCAUCACUACCUGCUCCAUUUGACUCAAAAAUGCAACGACCGGUUUCAAAAAGUCACGAUGUCUUCAGUUCAUGUGAUUUUACUGUUGAAUUUAAACAGGAAAUGUGAAAUAUUUUUGUUCCUUUGUUUCCUCUACUGUCUUUUUGCUGUGAUCUUGAACACAGUUGUAAUUUAAAAAAAUAAAUAAAUAAAUAAAUGAUCAUUCUAGUUCUCA